GAGAUAGUUCAUCGAUAACGGGGUGAAUCAUUCGGCAUGGACCACACCAUGGAGCCCAAAAUUCAACCAGAACAGGUUUAUCAGAUCCGAUUACAAGAGACUCCCAUGUUUGAUCAUUAACAGCAGGCACUGUAUUUAACAAUAACCAUGUUAAAUAUACAAUGAAGCUGAUAAAAUUCAUUGAGAUGCUGCUAAAGCUAUGGUUUUAGUUGCCUACUUCAUGCUAAUCCCAUUAUAAUCCCACACAGUGGGGUAUGGGGAGGGUAGAGUGCACACAGACCUUACCCCUGCCUCAACGGUGGAGUAGCUGUUUUCGAUAGACCCUCAGCACAAGGAAAACAAAACAAGGAAAGUGACCGAAGUACAAGAAAUAACAGAUAGUAACAAAAACAAUGAUAAUAAUAUGACAGUAAUUACAAUAGAUACUGAUGCAUCAUAGUUGUUAUUACUCCUUGUAAUUAGAUAGAGCGCUAGCGAUGAAGAUUUAACAAUGAGGAAUUUCAUUUUUCUAACUAGGAUGACUCAUAUUACAAUUGCAACACGUGCAUUUUCACACAAAAAGUAUUGAGUCAUUCAUUUUCCUUUUUGGUGAAGACUGACACGAAGCAUGGCAUAUAACAAGCCAUCUCGAUUCUCAAGGUCUUAUAAUAGCUCCACAAUGUCAAUGAGAAAGCAGAAAUUAGAAUUUAUAUGCAAUAAAAGCUUUUACUGGAAACUGUAAUGGAACUCAUAGGAGUUCAAAUAUUUAACUGCAAAUGAAGUUCAAAAACAUAAGUACUAACGCUGGUAGGUUUUACUAGCCUUCACACUCUCCAAACUUAUGUACCAAUUCCACAAGAAUGGAUUUACUUCAAUCCUUUAACAAGCAUCAAGUAAUUCUAGUAUAUAUUGCUCAGAUUCUUCAAAAACGUCGACACAAUUGUGCCGGAUCCUCCAUAAGAAGUGCAUUUUGAAGGAUUUAAUACGGCUGCGGCAACAUUUUUGGAGAGUUCGAGCAACAUAGAUUUUGAUUUCCACAUUGUUAGUAAAAUUGAUUUACUCUAUAAUGUAAUAUUCAACUUAAAGGUCCUGGACAUGACUUUUCAUCAAAUUUAAGAUUGUAUGAUAAUCUGAUAGAUAAUUGACAAUAGCAGCAGUAGACGGUUGAAUUUCUUUGAACUCUGACACAAAAAUACUCUGCCACAAGGAUGGAAGUGGUGUUAAAGUUACAGAUUUAUCCAAACUCACUAGCUAUACCAAUUUAUGUGAAGUGGUUGAAAGUACUUGAAAGUAUGAGGGUCAAAAUAUUUAAUUUUGACGAAUUUGAAUACAAGUUCUUCAAUUUUUUAAAAAUACAGUAUAAAAUUUAUAAAUUUGCAAACUGCUUAAAAAGUAGUUCAAGUCAGUGCAGCUAAUGAUUCUUCUAUAUAAAACAAAAUUGAGAAAAUUAUUGUCAAAAGAAAACAUUAUUCAACUCCCCAAACAAUAAUAAUCCCUUCACAUAAAUGGGACCAAGGGAGUCACAAUAAUAAUACCAGAUUUCAGACAUAAUAGAUCAAAUAAGUUGUGAUAGAAUCUAGAAUUCGUACUCAUAAAAUUCAAAUUUGGAUACCUUCUGAGCCACUUGCACUUUUUGUCAAAAUUUAAUAAUCUUAGAAAAGACACAUCUCAAACUAUAAGUAAGCAUGAGCAAAUUAAAUGAAUAUUUUAGAAUCCCCAACUCAAAUUCGUAAAAUUCAAAUUCUGAAUUAUCUUUGCUUCGCCACUUGCAACUGCGUGUUUAGGCAUUUUUUUGUCCCAAUCAAAGCUUUAAAAAGACCCAAAUAUCUCAAAUUGUAAGCAAGUAGCAGGGCGAAGCCAGAGUCAUCAAAAAAUUGCACUAUAUAUAUAAGGUCAAAAAUAUCUUGUAUAAAUAUAUAUUAAAUGUUGAUUCCUCUUCAUUUCUUCAUGUAUUUAACUCAUUAUAUUCUGAACUCCUUAGUGAAAACCUAACUCCGUCACUGACAAGAAAGAGUUGAUAAAUAGAUUUCGGAUCUAGAAGGAGUUGAUAAAUAGAUUUCGGAUCUAGUAAAUCAAAUUGAGCACCUGUAAAAUUCAAAUCCUGAAUUAUCUUUACUUCGCCACUUGUAAUUGCGUGUUUAAUCAUUUUCUUGGUCAGAGUUUUAGCCUUUUUAAUCAUUUUAUACCUCAAUCCAUAAGCAAUACUCUUUUGUUCUUUUUCUGGGACAUAGAAGGGAAUUACAAGGUGGGAACUGAACCCUCGUCAACCAACUGCACUACUAAGAUUCUUCAACUAUAACCAAAAAUAAGGAAAAGAAAUAAGCACCUAGAACAGCAGUAUCCUGAGCCUCACAGACAAUUCUUGCUCCUCUACCAUUGCCACCAGAUUUUGAAAAUGAGGCAAAGGACACUGAUGAACAAGUCGACUGGAACUUAAGACCAUUGAACACAGAGAAACUAAUAAAAGAUCG
rnacentral:lncRNA from 1 species